UUUAAAUAUGUACUGCCUUAAAACCAUAAUUGCAUGUGUUCCUAUGCCUUGCUUUGGCUUUGUUUACAAACCGUAGGCAAGCUACUAGUAGCUAGCUCAAGCAGAACGUACAACCAAAUAAUAUAUAUAUUUUUAAAUAUACUGGUAGCCUUUCAUCUGUGGUGUGACUGUUAGCUAGCAAGCUACUUACCAGCAUACCGGGGAAAAGCACAUUGUGACUGGAUGCCAUAGUGUAAAUUUAACGUUACACUAUUUUCUGAAGAAAGAAGACAUCCGACAGCAGUGUCUCAUUGUUAUUUUGGGUGGACAGGCUGCACUGAAAAUUACAAUUAUGUCACGGGUGUGCAGUGCACAUUUUGAGCGAAGUUGCUUUAUCAAAUGGGGAGAAUAUUCGAUUGGUCUUGCCAGGAAGCUAAUCCUAAAGACGGAUGCAAUACCAUCAUUGACAUUGGAACAGUGGGUCUUGCAAGCGCUGACCAUAAUAUUCCCAGGCCACCACCACAGCAGGAAUGCUGUGAUACAAAAUCUGCUUUCCAAAGGCAAAGAAGGGGGGGAUAUGCUGUGAAACAUGUGAAGACAGACCCAACAUACUGCUAUGUAGACAGCUUCCUGGAUCUACUCUUCAACAAGGCCACGCUUGAUCCAGCAUGUUACAGUAUGUGGGGAAGCUGGGGAAGCUGUGUGAGCUGUCCAUCCCAGCACCCCUGUUUGCCCAGUGUGAGAGUUCUGACAAGGAGGAGGCCAUAGUGUCCCGCUUCAAUCUUGGGGGUGACUGAAGCCAAGUGGGUGACUGAAGUCUGCUUGAUUGAAGCGGGGUACAUGGGUCCCCCUCCCCAUCAAUCUCUGUGGUUGGUUGCAUUACCUAAAGCCUAAGUAAUUAACUUUUACAUGAUAUGAUAUCACAUUUUGUUCAUUUCUAUGUUUUUUUCUAGCAUUUGGAUGGGAGAUUAGUGUUACAAAUUGUACGACUCAAUUUGACUCAUGUCCAAUGAUGUCUCACCAUUAUUUCUCACCAUUAUUUCUCAUGAGUGUUCAUGUUGAUCAAUAUUUUGGGCUGUGCUGUCAUAUUGUAAAUGAUCAAAUAAAUGUCUGAUCAAUACAUAUAAUUCUGAACAUAUUGUUAUUUAUAAUGCAAGCAUUUCACUACACCCGCAAUAACAUCUGCUAAAUAUGUGUAUGUGACCAAUAAAAUGUUAUUUGAUUUAAUGCAGAGGCACCAAUAAAUUGUCCAGUACACUUAUUGUAUGCUGUUUGUAUAUUCUCUUAUGUGUAAGCUUCUAAGAUCACUCA